rnacentral:rRNA from 1 species
AGUCGAACGAUGAUGCCCAGCUUGCUGGGUGGAUUAGUGGCGAACGGGUGAGUAACACGUGAGUAACCUGCCCCUGACUCUGGGAUAAGCGUUGGAAACGACGUCUAAUACUGGAUAUGACUGCCGGCCGCAUGGUCUGGUGGUGGAAAGAUUUUUUGGUUGGGGAUGGACUCGCGGCCUAUCAGCUUGUUGGUGAGGUAAUGGCUCACCAAGGCGACGACGGGUAGCCGGCCUGAGAGGGUGACCGGCCACACUGGGACUGAGACACGGCCCAGACUCCUACGGGAGGCAGCAGUGGGGAAUAUUGCACAAUGGGCGAAAGCCUGAUGCAGCAACGCCGCGUGAGGGAUGACGGCCUUCGGGUUGUAAACCUCUUUUAGUAGGGAAGAAGCGAAAGUGACGGUACCUGCAGAAAAAGCACCGGCUAACUACGUGCCAGCAGCCGCGGUAAUACGUAGGGUGCAAGCGUUGUCCGGAAUUAUUGGGCGUAAAGAGCUCGUAGGCGGUUUGUCGCGUCUGCUGUGAAAUCCCGAGGCUCAACCUCGGGCUUGCAGUGGGUACGGGCAGACUAGAGUGCGGUAGGGGAGAUUGGAAUUCCUGGUGUAGCGGUGGAAUGCGCAGAUAUCAGGAGGAACACCGAUGGCGAAGGCAGAUCUCUGGGCCGUAACUGACGCUGAGGAGCGAAAGCAUGGGGAGCGAACAGGAUUAGAUACCCUGGUAGUCCAUGCCGUAAACGUUGGGCGCUAGAUGUAGGGACCUUUCCACGGUUUCUGUGUCGUAGCUAACGCAUUAAGCGCCCCGCCUGGGGAGUACGGCCGCAAGGCUAAAACUCAAAGGAAUUGACGGGGGCCCGCACAAGCGGCGGAGCAUGCGGAUUAAUUCGAUGCAACGCGAAGAACCUUACCAAGGCUUGACAUACACCGGAAACGGCCAGAGAUGGUCGCCCCCUUGUGGUCGGUGUACAGGUGGUGCAUGGUUGUCGUCAGCUCGUGUCGUGAGAUGUUGGGUUAAGUCCCGCAACGAGCGCAACCCUCGUUCUAUGUUGCCAGCGGGUUAUGCCGGGGACUCAUAGGAGACUGCCGGGGUCAACUCGGAGGAAGGUGGGGAUGACGUCAAAUCAUCAUGCCCCUUAUGUCUUGGGCUUCACGCAUGCUACAAUGGCCGGUACAAAGGGCUGCGAUACCGUAAGGUGGAGCGAAUCCCAAAAAGCCGGUCUCAGUUCGGAUUGAGGUCUGCAACUCGACCUCAUGAAGUCGGAGUCGCUAGUAAUCGCAGAUCAGCAACGCUGCGGUGAAUACGUUCCCGGGCCUUGUACACACCGCCCGUCAAGUCAUGAAAGUCGGUAACACCCGAAGCCGGUGGCCUAACCCUU